rnacentral:lncRNA from 1 species
UGAGAGGGAGUCUCGCUCUGUAGCCCAGGCUGGAGUGCAGUGGCGCGGUCUCGGCUCACUGCAAGCUCCGCCUCCAGGGUUCACGCCAUUCUCCUGCCUCAGCCCCCCAAAUACCUGGGACUACAGGCGCCCGCCACCACGCCCAGCUAAAUUUUUCGUAUUUUUAGUAGAGACGGGGUUUCACCGCGUUAGCCAGGAUGGUCUCGAUCUCCUGACCUCAUGAUCUGC